AGGUAUGUCCCAAGUGAACUGGCUUAUUGCGAUGAUUUGGUCGAUUCAGACUUCUCUUUAUUUUGAAUGGCUUUCACCUUUGGGCAAUUCAAUUGAUGGAAGGUGUUGUUUCAAUGAUAUUGAAGCUUUUUUAGGUACUAUGGCAGUUAAGCUUCGUUUGAAAUUGUGGACGCAUGCAUGAUUUAUGUUCUUUUUAUGAUGGGGCAUUAUGACAUUUGCACAAAUUUGUAAGUGCCAUGUAGUGGUUAAUUAGGUACACAUUAGUGCGUACAAGUCUUUUAUUGCACCUACUCGUUAUUCCUUUUGCAGAGGGUUUUGCGGCGGUGGCCUGACACACCCGGGUUGUGCUACUUCUGCAGGGAAUGGCGUUCUCGAUGGCCGGGAGGGACCGGCUCGGCCUCCAUGGCCUGCUCCCGCCCAGUGUCGUUUCCUUGCAGCAGCAGAUGACCGAUUCCCUGCCGGUUCGGUUCCUUCCUUGCUUACCACUCAACUGACAGCCAUCAUUGGUAUCGUGCUCUGGCUCCCUAUUUCUCAUUGCUAAGGAGAAGCAUGUCCACGAGUUUGCAAUGGUGGGUGGCACAUCCAUUGGUCAAGAUCGAGGACAGUGGCCUCGACAGCGUG
rnacentral:lncRNA from 1 species